ensembl:lncRNA PKN2-AS1 PKN2 antisense RNA 1
GGGGCGACGGGCCGGCCUCUCCGGGGACCAGGCGAGAGCAGGCUCCCGCUGCAGCAGGGCUGCAGAGAUGGGGUCCCCUCUGAUAAUUCUGUAAUCAUCCUCUGUUGAAAAUAAAGGUCUACAAAGUGUCCGUUACCCUGGAGCUGUACAAGUCACACACAGCUCCAUUGGAGAGAAAACUGGAUGGAACCAUUUGACUGAAAAUCCAUGUCAAAAGGCCAACAAGAAAGAGCUGAGACACUGCAGAAAGAGCAGGAAUAAAUAAGAGGUGAAGACAGACAGAGACCAGACAAGGAGGACUCAAUUACAGACUGACAGAAGACUCAAGGAAGAAAAUGAAGCUGGACCUGUGAAGAACUGUCGAAACAGCUGUAGAGGAAUUGUGGUGGAGGCAGUAAUGGCUCCUUUAGUAGCAGAGAAUAGAAAGAUCUCGAAAAUAAAGCCUAUUGUCAGGAGACUUGCACCCAUCCUGGCCUACUUCCAAGUAGAAACAAAAACAGAAACGAAGAUAUCCAUGAUACCUAAUGUUACAAGGAGAAGAAAGCACUUGUAAUCACAAGGGUACUGAGAAAAGAUGAAGUAUCCCAUCAUUUGAUUCUGGAUUGAGAACUCUUUGAGAGCAGAGACGAUGGCUUCACCUGAGUAUCCCCAGAGCCUGACGUUAGACAAAGACACAAACAAUGGUUUUCAUGAAAUGGAGCAGUAAAAGCAUUCUUCAUCAGACCAGCUCUCCAAAGUAAGAAUGCUCCCUGCCAAAGCUUGGAGAUGAGAAAUGAGUUGUAUAAUGAAAAGUUGUUUGUUUUCUGGAGUUUACAAGUCAAUUUGGGAUACUUCAUCAGCCAAGUUUUUAUCUCUGUACUGGCAACCAUUACAUGUUUUCAAUUUGAAAAAAUGUCCAUUUUUGCUUUCCAUGGCAUCUGUGCUAUAUUCAAACCACUCUGCAAUUUCAUGCAGACAAAGACUUUCCAAGUCACAUGGUCUAUUUGAGUAAUAGGAGUCCAUUAAGAAUGAACAGAGACAACCUGUAUUAUAGUGAUUUCUCCCUUUGUGGGUUUUGCAAUUUCCCUACCAAGCUUUGGUGUUUGAAGAUGACAUUUUGAAAAUUGGAUUUAACUACCUGAAAACUUAGGACACAGAAUUGCCGGCAACCAAUUAGUAGCCUGGAAGGACCUCACUGAGUCAUGACUGUCUGUUUAUCACUUCUUUUUGGAGGAAGGAUAAAGGAGAAAUGCCUAAUCUAUAGACAUCUUUUUGUUAUUUUCCUUAGAAAUGCUAUUCAAAUCUGGAGCUAAGGGAAAAGUCAGAUAUGAAUCCUUGGAGUCGUUAAGUGGCACAAUCUGAAUGUAAAUUUCAUGGCACCAGCCAGGCCUUCAGAUCUCAAUGGUAACUGUUGCUAACCCAAAUAUUGUCACUGAAAAAAUGACACCCAUUAAUAAUUACUAUUCCAAACACAUGAAAGCACCUGAGAAAUGUUCACUCCAGACAUGGUACUUUUGACUACAAAGGGUGAUGGUAUACAUAUUUAUGUGUAAUUGUUUCCUACAUAUGUUACAUUUGAAAACUCACUACAAUUUAUGUUUCCCAAUCUUUCUAGAAACUAGAAGAAAUAACCCAACAAUUAAAAGGCAAUCUAGUUUAACUGACUUGCCAAAGGGCUGACUUUUGAUAGUUAUUAUUCACCAGAAAACAAAACACUGGCUAUUAUGUGGGCUUUGGUAACAGCAUGGCAUGUAGUAGGCUUUACUAUUCAUAAUAAACAUAGAAUAAAAUGGAUGGAUGAAAGUAUCUGUAAUUAUACUUGAACAUAAGAAUCAAAUUUUGAAUAGAUUAUGUGUGUUUUCUUUUCUCUAAAUAUGUAUAAAAUUGAUAUCAAUGCUUGUAAUUACUACUAAAAGCUUUUGUGAUGAAAUGAUUGCCCCAUCUACUCAGGCUACUUUUAAUAUUGUCUUUGUCCAUGCGACUAUGGCAACAUCUUUGGUAUCUAUACCUCAUGCCUUGAUUUUACCUUCCACAAUGGGUCUUCAAACUGCAUCAUUCACAACAGAAACCAUCUGAGGGCACAGACAGUCUUUUGCUACCUCCUUCUGUUAUGGACUGAGUUUAUUUUAAAAUUUCUUUGUUGAAAUCCUAACCCUCAGUAUCUCAGAAUGUGACUAUAUGGAGAUAGGAAGAGGUAACUGAGUUAAAGUGAGGUCAUUAGGGUUGGCUCUAAUCCAGUAUGACUGGUGUCCUUUGAAGAAGAGGAAAUUUAGACACAGACAUGUACAGAGGGAAGACCAUGUGAAGACUCAGGGAGAAGGCAGCCAUCUGCAAGCCAAGAAGAGCCCCAGAAGAAACCAACUCUACUGACACCUUGAUCUCAGAUUUUUAGCUUCCAGAAUUAUAAGAAAAUAAAUUUCUGUUGUUUAAACCACCCAGUCUGUGGCACUGUGUUAUGGCAACUCUAGCAAACUUAUAUACCAUUUUUGUUUUUCUAAAUUUGUACACUUCUUUCCCAAAUAUCACUAGCCCUUGAAAGUUUGAAAUAUAUCCUAAGCUUCAUGUUAUAUGCAAAACCUAAAUUUUGUUUGCUUUCUCUGCACCUCCUAGACCA